rnacentral:misc_RNA from 1 species
GAUGAAGAACGCAGCGAAAUGCGAUAAGUAAUGUGAAUUGCAGAAUUCAGUGAAUCAUCGAAUCUUUGAACGCACAUUGCGCCCGCCAGUAUUCUGGCGGGCAUGCCUGUUCGAGCGUCAUUUCAACCAUCAAGCCCCAGGCUUGUGUUGGAGCCCUGCGGCUGCCGCAGCCUCCCAAAACCAGUGGCGGGCUCGCUAUCACACCGAGUGCAGUAGUUUACUCUUCGCUCAGGGCGUGUGGCGGGUGCUAGCCGUGAAACCCCCAACUUCUCAAGGUUGACCUCGGAUCAGGUAGGAAUACCCGCUGAACUUAAGCAUAUCAUAGCGGAGGA